CUUGGGGUUAUCCUAACCAGCUGUGUGAUGCAUCACCUUCAGAAUGAAGUUCCAGGCCAAGGUUAUGGCACAGGUGACCUGGUGUCAUCCACACGGAAAGGAAACAGGAGGAACAAGAAGUUAAUUUAGGAGAUUCUCAGCGGAGACGAUGUGCGGUGUUUGGAACAUGCCCGAGCUGCCCUGAAAUGCCCUGCUUGAAGGUGGUGAGUGCAGCGGGACUGCAGUGUUCAAGCCGGGCGCCAGCCAGCCGCCCACCUGUCAGAAACUGUGCCAGGAGUAUGCGGGAGAAGAGAGUUCCGCCUCGGGUCUCAUGAUGUUGACAGCUCCAAAUUCUAAGUCGUCAGUCUGCCCACACUCGCAGACCCAAAAGAAAGGAAGCCGGAUUCAGCUUGGGUCCUACCACCCACUGUCUCCGGGGGUAGUCAGCGCCCCCUCCCCGCCUCGCGGGGGUUCUGAAGGGAGGUAACUCGGGCGCGGAGUGCCGAGGACGUCGUGGGGAGAUAGGUGUUCCAGAGAUGAAGCUGACAAGGCCGAGACAUGUGACAGUCGAAGCGUCACGUUCUGGGUCUGAGAGGCUGAGAUCAGGCCGGUCACAUGACGCGCGCGGGGGGUUGCACUAUGGUGUGAUACGAGAUGAGCGGGCCUCACAGAU